GAUGAACGCUAGCUACAGGCUUAACACAUGCAAGUCGAGGGGCAGCAUGGUCUUAUCUUGCUAAGGCCGAUGGCGACCGGCGCACGGGUGAGUAACACGUAUCCAACCUGCCGUCUACUCUUGGACAGCCUUCUGAAAGGAAGAUUAAUACAAGAUGGCAUCAUGAGUCCGCAUGUUCACAUGAUUAAAGGUAUUCUGGUAGACGAUGGGGAUGCGUUCCAUUAAAUAGUAGGCGGGGUAACGGCCCACCUAGUCUUCGAUGGAUAGGGGUUCUGAGAGGAAGGUCCCCCACAUUGGAACUGAGACACGGUCCAAACUCCUACGGGAGGCAGCAGUGAGGAAUAUUGGUCAAUGGGCGCAGGCCUGAACCAGCCAAGUAGCGUGAAGGAUGACUGCCCUAUGGGUAGUAAACUUCUUUUAUAAAGGAAUAAAGUCGGGUAUGCAUACCCGUUUGCAUGUACUUUAUGAAUAAGGAUCGGCUAACUCCGUGCCAGCAGCCGCGGUAAUACGGAGGAUCCGAGCGUCAUCCGGAUUUAUUGGGUUUAAAGGGAGCGUAGAUGGAUGUUUAAGUCAGUUGUGAAAGUUUGCGGCUCAACCGUAAAAUUGCAGUUGAUACUGGAUAUCUUGAGUGCAGUUGAGGCAGGCGGAAUUCGUGGUGUAGCGGUGAAAUGCUUAGAUAUCACGAAGAACUCCGAUUGCGAAGGCAGCCUGGUAAGCUGCAACUGACAUUGAGGCUCGAAAGUGUGGGUAUCAAAGGAGGAUUAGAUACCCUGGUAGUCCACACGGUAAACGAUGAAUACUCGCUGUUUUGCGAUAUACGGCAAGCGGCCAAGCGAAAGCGUUAAGUAUUCCACCUGGGGAGUACGCCGGCAACGGUGAAACUCAAAGGAAUUGACGGGGGCCCGCACAAGCGGAGGAACAUGUGGUUUAAUUCGAUGAUACGCGAGGAACCUUACCCGGGCUUAAAUUGCAGAUGAAUUACGGUGAAAGCCGUAAGCCGCAAGGCAUCUGUGAAGGUGCUGCAUGGUUGUCGUCAGCUCGUGCCGUGAGGUGUCGGCUUAAGUGCCAUAACGAGCGCAACCCUUGUUGUCAGUUACUAACAGGUUCCGCUGAGGACUCUGACAAGACUGCCAUCGUAAGAUGUGAGGAAGGUGGGGAUGACGUCAAAUCAGCACGGCCCUUACGUCCGGGGCUACACACGUGUUACAAUGGGGGGUACAGAGGGCCGCUACCACGCGAGUGGAUGCCAAUCCCAAAAACCUCUCUCAGUUCGGACUGGAGUCUGCAACCCGACUCCACGAAGCUGGAUUCGCUAGUAAUCGCGCAUCAGCCACGGCGCGGUGAAUACGUUCCCGGGCCUUGCACA
rnacentral:rRNA from 1 species